CGGCCUGGCAGGUCCGUCGGGAAAUCCAGCCGCCCAACGGCUGGGCGACCGGCGGAACCCGCCAGGCUUGGGACCGGAAGACUCGAGGGGUACGUCCGGGGUAGGAGUGAAAUCCCGUAAUCCUGGACGGACCGCCGGUGGCGAAAGCGCCUCAGGAAGACGGACCCGACGGUGAGGGACGAAAGCUAGGGUCUCGAACCGGAUUAGAUACCCGGGUAGUCCUAGCCGUAAACGAUGCUCACUAGGUGUGGCGCUGGCUACGAGCCAGCGCUGUGCCGUAGGGAAGCCGUGAAGUGAGCCGCCUGGGAA
rnacentral:rRNA from 1 species